GGUUCCAAAGAGCAAUUGUACAACAGGCAAACUAGCUCAGCUCAUGGAAAAGCUGAAGCAAUUUACCAGAUGAGGAACCCACUGUUUCCGGAGCACCAAAACUACAGCCAACUGAAAGACCAGGUGAUCGACUUAUACGGCCUCUCUGUAACCGAAGCUAUGCAAUCCCUCAACAACAGGUUGAGCUUCCUGAGACGCAAGGCAAGGUCCUCAGGGCAGCGACUGCACGCCGUAAUAUGCGUUGGAGUUGGUCAGCAGCACUCCAAGGGCACAGGAUCUCCUGCUUGGCUUCCUCUUGCAGUGGAGCAGUACCUGACGACGGAAGGCCUGCAGUUCACCCAGCCUCACCCAGGCCUUCUCCGUGUUGUGAUAUAUUGACAGACACGCUGUAACUAUUAUACCCAAUUGGAGAGAGAGAGAGAGAGAGAGAGAGAGAGAGAGACAGAUACAUCAUACACUUUUCCUUAUUGUGCAUAUGGGUGGAAUAGAAGAGAAAUCAGUGCAGAGUACGUAGUUACACUACUGUUGACGUUGUAAAUGGUGGUGGCUUUCGUUACUACCUUUUGUAAUUUGGUGGGUGGAAUUUUUCUGGUUUUGUUGCCAUAUAUUGUACAUUCUCUUUCUUUA